rnacentral:rRNA from 1 species
UACGUAGGGUCCGAGCGUUGUCCGGAAUUAUUGGGCGUAAAGGGCUCGUAGGCGGUUUGUCGCGUCGGGAGUGAAAACACGGGGCUUAACCCCGUGCCUGCUUCCGAUACGGGCAGACUAGAGGUAUGCAGGGGAGAACGGAAUUCCUGGUGUAGCGGUGAAAUGCGCAGAUAUCAGGAGGAACACCGGUGGCGAAGGCGGUUGUCUGGGCAUUACCUGACGCUGAGGAGCGAAAGUGUGGGGAGCGAACAGG